AUGGGAUGGCCCUGUAAGUUGUGCAGCACUGUUGUACCAACCAAGAGUGACAUUUUAAAGCAUUACAGACUGCACCAUGGGACCUUUGGACACAGCCAUUCCUUGCCUUGCAUUCAUAUUAAUGAAGCGUUCCGAAGGUGCAGUGCUGUUCCACUGGAAUCAACAUUUAUGUCCCAACUGGACAGGUACACUCCAAAACUCCUGGAGCUCUUCAGUGCAAAAGGAGGAGUGACUGCAGCGCAUCAAGAACUUGUUGAUGGAACUGACACAGGACCCAAGUGCCUCUGCAGUGAAGAAGAGAGAUGUGACUGUGAGAUGCCUCAUAGAGUACGUGGGAGAGAGUGGACAGGAGCUAAUCUCUGACUACUGGAACUGCAGAGACUGCUGUUCAUGAGGACCUGGAAAUGAAGAAUAUGAGCAUCUACAUCUGUCGUGAGCCAAAUGCAGUAGGAAUCAUCAUUGAGGGAGUACCAGUCCUUACUCGUCUUGGAAACCUGGCCAAAGCAUGCUGCCUACUUCUGGGGUUGACGUAUGCACUUAAUCUUGAGUAUCCAUCCAAACUUUCCAAAACAUUUGAGGUGUUUCAAAGACUUUUUGUGGGACUUGACACACUGCGCCCAAAACCAACCCCCAAAUUCAUGACUCUCAAAAACAAGCUUCUAGCUUAGGCAGUGAGCCAUGACUGUCAGCUUGCACUUUUGAACAGCUAUUUUCUUGUCUGUUCAAAAUCAUUAUACAUUGUUCAUUGAGUGGAAUUCUUCAGAAUGUUGUAACGGUUUGUCCUGUUCAGGUUUUAUACAAAGCUCCAGGUCAUCGUUUCUGGUGUGUAAAUUAAGUUUUUUUUUGUUUUAUACACACUAAAUUGCCCCACUGUGAAGCUCCAGCUGGUCAGAAGGAGCGAUCUGUGAGUUGUUUAAGUUAAAAUGUUUCAAAAUAUACACACUGAAAGACACUACAGUGAAGGUGUUCUGCUUGUGAAUUGUUACAGAAGUACAGAUAAUCUUAAUGUUAAAUUGUUUUAGCAAGAAACUGUACUGUGAAUGUUCUAAGUAAAACUUGAGAUGCUGAGGUCAUGCAUUCUUUUAUGCACUAAAUACUGAUGUUCUUGACUAUUAAUACUGUCCAGCUUAUUGACAGGUUUGGAUAUGGCUUGUGAAAAUGUUUUAAUAUGUAUACGGUUAAAAAAAAAGAAAACUACUGUGAAGGUGUUCUAUACAGCACUUUAAAAAGUGGAGGUCAUGCAUUCUUGUAUAAUAUGGAUGUUGACUGUUCAUACUGUCCAGCU